AACGAACGCUGGCGGCAUGCCUAACACAUGCAAGUCGAACGAAGCCUUCGGGCUUAGUGGCGCACGGGUGCGUAACGCGUGGGAAUCUGCCCUUGGGUUCGGAAUAACAGUUAGAAAUGACUGCUAAUACCGAAUGAUGUCUUCGGACCAAAGAUUUAUCGCCCAAGGAUGAGCCCGCGUCGGAUUAGCUAGUUGGUGAGGUAAAGGCUCACCAAGGCGACGAUCCGUAGCUGGUCUGAGAGGAUGAUCAGCCACACUGGGACUGAGACACGGCCCAGACUCCUACGGGAGGCAGCAGUGGGGAAUAUUGGACAAUGGGCGAAAGCCUGAUCCAGCAAUGCCGCGUGAGUGAUGAAGGCCUUAGGGUUGUAAAGCUCUUUUACCCGGGAUGAUAAUGACAGUACCGGGAGAAUAAGCCCCGGCUAACUCCGUGCCAGCAGCCACGGUAAU
rnacentral:rRNA from 1 species